CUUUCUUUUCUUUUUACUUUCCACUCCUCUGCUCUGCUUCUAUUUUAAGGACUGAAAAUGAAGUAAGGAAUGAGAGAGUCUAGUGAGAAGAGGGUAGGAGGACAAGAGAGGAUGCUGGAAGUACAGUUGGAAGCCAUUGAAGAAUUCCAGGUGAUCGUGAUGGUUUGAAUUAUGGACUAAUUAAAAGAAGAACCAAUGAGACCAGACAUAAGGAGGGAAACUUAAGAAAAAAGAAAGAAGAAAUAAGUCUUUUCCAAACUCUAUCAACCAGUGGUCAAAGAUAUGGAGGUUAAAGGAAGAGAAGAAAAGUAAGCUUAAGG